rnacentral:rRNA from 1 species
UGGGGAAUUUUGGACAAUGGGCGAAAGCCUGAUCCAGCAAUGCCGCGUGUGUGAAGAAGGCCUUCGGGUUGUAAAGCACUUUUGUCCGGAAAGAAAUGGCUCUGGUUAAUACCUGGGGUCGAUGACGGUACCGGAAGAAUAAGGACCGGCUAACUACGUGCCAGCAGCCGCGGUAAUACGUAGGGUCCAAGCGUUAAUCGGAAUUACUGGGCGUAAAGCGUGCGCAGGCGGUUGUGCAAGACCGAUGUGAAAUCCCCGAGCUUAACUUGGGAAUUGCAUUGGUGAAUGCACGGCUAGGGUGUGUCAGAGGGGGGUAGAAUUCCACGUGUAGCAGUGAAAUGCGUAGAGAUGUGGAGGAAUACCGAUGGCGAAGGCAGCCCCCUGGGAUAACACUGACGCUCAUGCACGAAAGCGUGGGGAGCAAACAGG